rnacentral:rRNA from 1 species
AGUGGCGGACGGGUGAGUAACACGUGAGGAUCUGCCCAUAGGACGGGGACAACAGUUGGAAACGACUGCUAAUACCGGAUGAGCCGAGAGGUAAAACUUUAUAAGGCCUAUGGAGGAGCUCGCGGCUGAUUAGCUAGUUGGUGGGGUAGAGGCCUACCAAGGCAUUGAUCAGUAGCUGGUCUGAGAGGAUGAUCAGCCACACUGGGACUGAGACACGGCCCAGACUCCUACGGGAGGCAGCAGUGGGGAAUUUUCCGCAAUGGGGGCAACCCUGACGGAGCAACGCCGCGUGAGGGAAGAAUGGUUGUGGCCAGUAAACCUCUUUUAAUAGGGAAGAAGAUAUGACGGUACCUAUUGAAUAAGCAUCGGCUAACUCCGUGCCAGCAGCCGCGGUAAUACGGAGGAUGCAAGCGU